rnacentral:tRNA from 1 species
GGCCGGUUAGCUUGGUCGGUUAGAGCGUAGUGCUGAUAACACCAAGGUCACAGGUUUGAUUCCUGUUUGGUCCC